rnacentral:tRNA from 1 species
GGCGAGAUUCCCGAGCGGCCAAAGGGGACGGACUGUAAAUCCGUUGGUAAAUGCCUUCGUAGGUUCGAAUCCUACUCUCGCCA